UUACUCCCUCUUUUGCCUUAAAAUCAGUCAUAAUAGAGGCCUAGAGGGAGUAUAUUCUUUGCCCAUUUACCCAAACUUUCCCUCAGAUACUCACAUGUUGAAUUUUUGUAGCUUUCUUACGUUAUCUAGAUACGGCCACUCGUUAGACUCUUGCCGUUUAUCCAUUUGUUUAUCGGGACCCAAUCCUAAAAAUAUCGUGUACAACAAUAAAAGACUAUACGUAAACAUAAUUU
rnacentral:lncRNA from 1 species